UCUCUCUCUCUCUCUCUCUGCUUUCAAGAUCAGAUUAUUUUUUUCAUUUUUCUUUGUUUCAGAGUGGCAAUGGUGGAGCAUUGCAUAGAAAAAGAAAAAGGAGAUAUAAUGGCAAUAAUCGACACAAUGGACUACGCAUCAGCAGUGAAUCCCGAUAUAAUGGCAAUAAAACGCGUAUUCGACCGCCGAAUUGAAUCUCUUACCAACGAUGUUUACGACCUCGAUUCUCUCCUCUUCGACCUCUACGUCCAUGAUACUUGCAUCCACAAACGUAAUUUCGUUUCUUCUUUCUUUCGAAUCUCUUCUGACUCGCUGAUCUAAACCUGUAACUCUUUCUUUCUUGAUUUUAUUGCACAGUGGAGAAAAACGAGCGAAGCAGGGAUUUGGGUUCAGUGGGAGUGAUGAAAAGGCAAAAGGGUCGAGCUCAGCUGGCUCAGGCAACGAGGUAUAUGGAGAAGGCACCCAAGAUUGUGGAUGUGAAAGUGAGACAACGGAAGAUUCAGCAACCGAGGUAGAGUAUAUGUUUCGACGAGUUUGCAGAUGAUCCAGUCGGGUUGCCUUGAAGUUGUUUUGUACUCUUGAGUCCUGACUUCCAUAUUAUCUAGUUGUUAAUAUGGGUUUCAAGCUUUGUGUAGAAUCUUGUAAUCUCUAAACUUUCACUUCAUUUCAUAAUAAAAGCAAAUUAAUUUCAUAAAAAAAAAAUGAGCUUGAUGAUCGAUCGUUAGCAAAAUUAAUGACAUGAAGUUGAAGAUAGAUGUCUCAUGUUUAAGUUGAAUUUUCUUGAUGGCCUUAAAGAUUU
rnacentral:misc_RNA from 1 species